rnacentral:rRNA from 1 species
UACGAAGGGGGCUAGCGUUGUUCGGAAUUACUGGGCGUAAAGCGUGCGCAGGCGGCUUCUCAAGUCAGGGGUGAAAGCCCAGAGCUCAACUCUGGAAUUGCCUUUGAGACUGAGUGGCUUGAGUACGAGAGAGGUGAGUGGAAUUCCCAGUGUAGAGGUGAAAUUCGUAGAUAUUGGGAAGAACACCGGUGGCGAAGGCAGCUCACUGGCUCGUAACUGACGCUCAUGCACGACAGCGUGGGGAUCAAACAGG